GUCUGAUUGAAUACUUUAAUCAGUCUGGCCUGCCCACUGAUAAUAAUUUUAAAGGCCGCGGUAUACUGACCGUGCGAAGGUAGCAUAAUAAUUAGUCUUUUAAUUAAAGACUGGAAUGAAAGGUCGAACAAAAAGUAAUCUUUCCCAGAACCUCAUAUCUAAUUUAACGUUUAAGUGAAAAGGCUUAAAUAUUCUUUAAAGACGACAAGACCCUAUAAAACUUUAUAAAAAAACCAUGUCUUUAAACUUAUUAGUGCAUUUAUUUUAUAGGUUUUUUUUAUUUCGUUGGGGCGACGAAAGCAUAGUUAAACCUGCUCUUUACUUAACUACAAAUAUAUUUGCUAAAGGACCCUUUUUUAAGAUCAAAAGAUAAAGUUACUUUAGGGAUAACAGCGUAAUUUUUUUUCAGAGUCCUUAUCGACAAUAAAGUUUGCGACCUCGAUGUUGAAUUAAAGUUCCUUUGCAAUGCAGCAGUUGCUUAAGUAGGUCUGUUCGACCUUUAAAACUUUACAUGAUUUGAGUUCAAACCGGCGUGAG
rnacentral:rRNA from 1 species